rnacentral:lncRNA from 1 species
ACUUUCUUGUGACAAGGUAGAAUCUUUGGUCGGGCAUACAUGAAACUUUAGGUCUCCUCUAAACUUUUCUUAGAUAAGGUAUGUCACCUGUGAACUGGAUUGAACGUUCUGCUAUUACUGGUGUUCUUCAAAGUGAUUUUCCUUUCUAAAAAGAGUUAGCCCUUUUACUUGUUCCUUCUUCUAUUCCCUUGGAAAAGAUUAAUAGGAGAAAAUAACAUGUUGGAUUUUACCAGGCAGGGUAUGCAGAAAAGAUGGCAAAUGUUUGGGAGACGGUUGCAGAGGAAACUAGUGAAUAUGCAAAACAUGGUAGCUGAAGAGUUGCUGUACAUAUUGGCUUUUUAGCUUCUGCCUUUCUUUUUUUUCUUUAACGGCCUAUCCCUUCCCUUCUUGUGUAUUCUAUUUAAUUUGUAAACUAGCUUAGAGACAGGUUCAUAUCUCAAAUGUAAAUGUUUGAUCCAACAUUUUGUUCUCGUAGAGUUCUAAUUGAUAGCCUGUGCUAUAAAUUAUCAUAUUUAUUUAUUCAUUCGGUUUUAGCAAGUUCACAU